rnacentral:lncRNA from 1 species
GCCUUCACAGUGGGCUCUAAUGUACAACAGAGGUGAUGCUAAAGCUUGAGUUAUUCUGGCAGCUUCCUCAGCAUCCUACUUUAUUUCUCUUUUGCAGAGGGUCCCUUCUUUUGCUAGGACAUCUCCUUGGAAUGGCAGCUGUGGCUGAACUGCCAAAGCUGACUGACAGCCGGUACCCAGCCUUGAACCAAAACAACUGCUUCCAGGAAAAGCAUCCUGUUCUAAGAAAUCACAUUCCAAAUCUCAUGAAGAAUUGUGUGUGAGAAUCUCACACUGAGGCAUAUGACGUUUUUUGGCGUUACCAGUUUGUUUUCUGCAGUUCAAGAUGUCCAAAAUCUUCCAUUUUAUGGAAUCAUUCUUCUGCUGUAUUUGUGGAGGAAAGGAUUUUUGCAGGAUGUGUGACAAGGACUUUGCUACUCCACUGGAUCAGAGGAAUCUGUCCUAGAGCUGUCUUUGAAUAGUUUGCUUGUCUGCAUUCACCAUCUAUCUUUCAACAAUCAGCAGAAAAGAAAAGAAGCCGAGUAAUGCUGCUGGUUAGAAGUUUUCUUCACUGUUCACUGAAAAUGAGCACAUAGUCUGAAGCCAGCAGAGGGGUCUGAGGAG